CCAGGGAGUGAUGGAGCCGCGUGGGAUCCAUCGCAAGAAGUAGAGCAGAGUCAUGGCCGUUACUGAGGGCUGUCAGGGAGUGGUGGAGCCGCACGAAAUCCGUCGCAAGAAGUGGAGCAGAGUCGUGGCCGAAACUGUGGCCUGCCAGGGGGUCCAAGCUUGUCGGUCGAAGUUCGGCUGGAGUGUCUGGCGGAGAGAGGUGGCUAGCUACUCGUCUGAGAGGAGCUCGGAGUCUGGCUCCCAUAGGAGUCCGGAUGAAGUCUUCCUUCAGUCGAAGUCGGGGAUGAAGUCCGGCUCCCGUAGG
rnacentral:lncRNA from 1 species